UACGUAGGGUGCAAGCGUUAAUCGGAAUUACUGGGUGUAAAGGGUUCGUAGGCGGUGUGGCAAGUCGGGGAGUGAAAUCUCUGGGCUCAACCCAGAGUCUGCUUCCGAAACUGCCGUGCUUGAGUGUGGGAGAGGCGCGUGGAAUUGCAGGUGUAGCGGUGAAAUGCGUAGAUAUCUGCAGGAACACCCGUGGCGAAAGCGGCGCGCUGGACCACUACUGACGCUGAGGAACGAAAGCUAGGGGGAGCAAAACAGG
rnacentral:rRNA from 1 species